rnacentral:rRNA from 1 species
AGCGAACGCUGGCGGCGUGCCUAACACAUGCAAGUCGAACGUGAAAAGGGAAACCUGAGUAAAGUGGCGUACGGGUGAGUAACGCGUAGGUAAUCUACCCCAGAAUCUGGAAUAACCUGCCGAAAGGCGGGCUAAUACUGGAUAGAGCGAGGGAACUCGUAAGAGAGUUUUUCGGGAAAGGGAGCCCGCAAGGGCCUUCGUUCUGGGAUGAGCCUGCGUCUCAUUAGCUAGUUGGUAAGGUAACGGCUUACCAAGGCGAUGAUGAGUAGCUGGUCUGAGAGGAUGAUCAGCCACACUGGAACUGAAACACGGUCCAGACUCCUACGGGAGGCAGCAGUGGGGAAUCUUGCGCAAUGGACGAAAGUCUGACGCAGCCACGCCGCGUGAGUGAAGAAGGCCUUCGGGUUGUAAAGCUCUGUUGGAUGGGACGAACAUCUUCAUAGUGAAUAGCUAUGAGGACUGACGGUACCAUCAAAGGAAGCACCGGCUAACUCCGUG